rnacentral:tRNA from 1 species
CAAGUUAUAUUCACAAGGAAUAAUAUUAUUUACAUUAAUAUCAGAACUGUGCAAUUCAGUUUAACUUGA